CCAAAACUCAGUUGCCUCUGUAGCUUACGUGUUACUGGUGAAUUUCAUACCCACCCCACCCACUCAAAAUAUUCCACUACUCCAUUACCAGAACCUCCAGCCAAGAAACAAAACCUCACACAUUUCUUGUUUUAGUGCAUCUGCACGUAUAUAUUUGGGUUCUUGUCAUAUAAAGUUGAAAAUUUUCUAUUCCAUAAUUUUGUUUUAGGUAUGUGAUAAUGCCCUUUCUUACAGGGAUUAGUGUCAUUAUUUAAGGUGAACCAAAAGGUGUGCUCCUAUAUUUUUGUCAUCAUUUUUCUAUUUAACAAAAAACAGCUUAGCUCCAAUUUCCACCAACCUUUUUUUUUCAUCUUUGUUUUUUCCUCAUGGUGUUUUGUGUCUGUCCCUUAAAUGUUCUUUCCUGUGGGUCGCUCAAUUUCUCAGUCCACUCAUAAGGCCAAAGCUUUAUAAUUCUUGGAUUUUUGUUGCAAUAUCUUCAACUAAAGGCAGUGCUGCUCAACCACUAGCCAUUUCAAGAUUUUGCCAAGUAUGAGCUUUUUUUCAAGUUCUUGAUUAGUCUAGUAAUGGAUAUUGAAAGUUGGGGUCGUGAAAAUCCAAUAAAGAAAGAAUCUUGGAGGACAGUUUUAGCCUUAGCUUAUCAGAGUUUAGGUGUGGUGUAUGGAGAUUUGAGUACUUCACCUUUAUAUGUAUACAAGAGCACAUUUGCAGAGGAUAUUCAUCAUUCAGAGUCUAAUGAGGAGAUAUUUGGAGUUUUAUCAUUUGUGUUUUGGACAUUAACUCUUAUUCCAUUGCUUAAAUAUGUGUUCAUAGUAUUACGAGCUGAUGAUAAUGGUGAAGGUGGGACUUUUGCUUUGUAUUCCUUAUUGUGCCGUCAUGCCCGUGUUAGUACUUUGCCUAAUGGUCAAUUGGCUGAUGAGGAUUUAUAUGAGUACAAGAAUGAUAGAAAAUUGUCAGCUGAUAGGAUUGGAAUGAGCUUGAAAUCAACUCUUGAGAAACACAGAUUUUUGAAGAAAAUUUUGCUCAUUUUAGCUUUGAUUGGGACUUGUAUGGUUAUUGGUGAUGGAGUCCUUACCCCUGCAAUCUCAGUAUUCUCUGCUGUCUCUGGACUUGAACUUUCAAUGGCAAAGCAUCAUCACCAAUAUGUAGAAGUUCCAGUUGCUUGUGUGAUACUUGUGUUCUUAUUUUUUCUCCAGCACUAUGGGACACAUCGAAUAGGAUUUCUAUUUGCACCUAUUGUGAUUACAUGGCUUUUUUGCAUUAGUGCAAUUGGGCUGUACAACAUCUUCCACUGGAACCCUCAUGUUUAUCAAGCAUUAUCUCCAUACUACAUGUACAAAUUCUUAAAGAAGACCCAAAGAGGAGGAUGGAUGUCCCUGGGUGGGAUUUUAUUAUGUAUAACAGGUUCAGAAGCUAUGUUUGCUGAUCUUGGACACUUUUCCCAGCUGUCUAUUCAGAUAGCUUUUACGUUUGUUGUUUACCCAUCAUUAAUUCUUGCUUAUAUGGGACAAGCUGCGUAUCUUUCCAAGCAUCAUGUUAUCCAAGGUGAUUACCACAUCGGGUUCUAUGUAUCAGUACCUGAAAAACUGCGGUAUCCUGUUCUGGCUAUUGCUAUACUUGCUGCAGUGGUUGGAAGCCAGGCCAUCAUCACUGGGACGUUUUCUAUAAUCAAGCAAUGUUCUGCUUUGGGUUGCUUCCCAAGGGUCAAAAUAGUACAUACAUCGUCCAAAAUCCAUGGCCAGAUUUACAUUCCAGAGAUAAACUGGACGUUGAUGUUGCUAUGCUUGGCAGUUACUAUUGGCUUCCGUGACACGAAACACAUAAGCAACGCAUCAGGUCUGGCAGUUAUAACUGUUAUGCUGGUCACUACGUGCUUUAUGUCUCUAGUCAUUGUCCUCUGCUGGCACAAAAACGUGUUACUUGCCAUUUGCUUUAUAUUCUUCUUUGGUUCCAUUGAAGCCCUCUACUUUUCAGCUUCCCUAAUCAAGUUCCUCGAAGGGGCCUGGGUACCGAUUGUUCUCUCUUUGAUAUUUCUAGUCGUCAUGUACAGUUGGCAUUAUGGCACCCUGNAGUUGGCAUUACGGCACCCUGAAAAAGUACGAGUUUGAUGUUGAAAACAAAAUUCCCAUCAACUGGCUGCUCACCUUGAGUCCCAACCUGGGUAUUACACGGGUCCGUGGCAUUGGCCUCAUCCACACCGAGCUUGUUUCAGGAAUUCCAGCAAUUUUCUCACAUUUCGUCACCAACCUACCUGCUUUCCACCAGGUUCUUGUUUUCCUUUGUGUCAAGUCCGUACCAGUACCUCACGUGAGACCUGAAGAAAGGUUCUUGGUGGGAAGAAUUGGACCAAAAGAGUACCGCGUCUACAGAUGUAUAGCACGAUAUGGUUAUCGAGAUAUUCACAUGGACGACGUAGAGUUUGAAAAAGAUCUAGUUUGUAGCAUAGCUGAAUUCAUCCGCUCAGAGGGACCAGCACAGAGUUUUGAAGCUGCUGAAGGUAUAGACGACAACGAGAAACUGACAGUUAUUGGAACAACUUCAACACAUGUUGAUGGAGUAACAAUGUGCGAGGACAUAGACACUAAAGAUACAGAAAUGAUUGAGAUCAGUUCCCCAGAAGUACCAAGAAAGAGAGUGAGAUUUCUGGUGCCAGAGAGUCCACAAAUGGAUUUAAGCGUUCGUGCAGAGUUGCAAGAACUGAUGGAAGCGCGGGAAGCAGGCAUGGCGUUUAUCCUUGGACAUUGUUAUGUAAGAGCAAAGAGAGGUUCAAGUUUGAUAAAAAAACUGGUGGUUGACAUAGGAUAUGACUUUUUGAGAAGGAAUUGUCGCGGGCCAACAUAUGCAUUGAGCUUCCCUCGUGCUUCAACUUUGGAGGUUGGAAUGAUUUACCAUGUAUAAUUUGUUCUUUCCUUUUCUAUUUAAAGGAUAGAACUGUAGCAUAUGCUUUUUUUUCUUCAUUCUUACUUUUGUAUUUCAAAUGUGAAAACUGUAAAUGUUGUGCUGGUACAUGAAUUUUGCUUUGUACAAUGCAAUACCACGAAAAAGUAUACUGAAUACUGAGCUUAGAGCUGCAUGUAUUGAAUAAAGAGCUGAAAAUAUGAGGUUAACAAUUUGUCUA